UUUUUUAAUGGGUCAUGCUUUUGGUGUUAUAUCUAAAAAGGCCCAACCAUGACCAAGGUCAUCUAGGUGUUCUUCUAUGUUAUCUUUUAGGAAUUUUAUAGUUUUACAUUUAGGUCUAUGAUUCAUUUUGAGUUAAUUUUUGUGAAGGGUGAAAGGCCUGCAUCUAGAUUCAUUUUUUUCUUUUUUUGCAUGUAGAUGUCCAGUUGCUACAGUUCCAGCCUGCUUUGUUGAAGUGAUUAUCUGCUCCAUUGUAUUGCCUUUGCUCCUUUGCCAAAAAUCAUUUGACUAUACUUAUGUGGUACUUUUUGCAUCGUUCUUAAGAAAUUUACCUCAAGAUCAUGAAGAUAAGUUUUACAAUAGAUUCAAUUAUAGAGCCAGUUUCUUGUGUAACUAUGACUCUUCAUCUGGUUAAUCUCUCCUCCACCUGGAAUAACACACUCUAGGAACUAGCUGGGAUCUAGCACAGAUACCUGGAGAACAGUAAUAUUACACACCCCGGAUCAGAAGGCUCCUCAGAAGUGAAGAGUUGAGGGGCACCUGGGUGGCUCAGUCGGUUAAGCAUCUGCUUUCGUCUCAAGUCAUGAUCCCAGGAUCCUGGGAUCGAGCCCCACGUCGUGCUCCC